UAUUUGGUACUAAAGCAUAUGACAAAAUUUAUGACUGCUACCCAUCAUAACUUUUGUCAUAUCUUUUGCUUGUACAAAAGGAUUAUGCGCAUUUAAAGCCGCAUAUUUUUGGUGCGCGCUAAAGAGAAGAGACAAAAUUUAUGACAAUUUUUGUGACAAAAGUUAUGACAUU